GGGGUUGUGGUCUAGUUUGGAAUGAUACCAGCCUCGGGCGCUGGUGACCGCCGGUUCAAAUCCGGCCAGCCCCA
rnacentral:tRNA from 1 species